GUGAAAUUGUUGAAAGGGAAACGUUUCAAGUCAGUUGCGUUGGCUGGUAAUCAACCUUUGCAAUCUUGCUGGGCUUAUUUUCCAGUCGAUGGGUCAGCAUCAAUUUUGGCCGUCAGACAAAGGCGUUGGGAAUGUGGCAUCUUUGGAUGUGUUAUAGCCCCUCGUCACAUGUGAUGGCUGGGAUUGAGGAACUCAGCAUGCCUUUACUGGUCGGGGCUUUGUGCCCACGUAACAUGCUCAGGAUGCUGGCAUAAUGGCUUGAACCGACCCGUCUUGAAACACGGACCAAGGAGUC
rnacentral:rRNA from 1 species